rnacentral:rRNA from 1 species
AACUUUCAACAACGGAUCUCUUGGUUCUGGCAUCGAUGAAGAACGCAGCGAAAUGCGAUAAGUAGUGUGAAUUGCAGAAUUCAGUGAAUCAUCAAAUCUUUGAACGCACAUUGCGCCCCAUGGUAUUCCGUGGGGCAUGCCUGUUCGAGCGUCAUUU